rnacentral:rRNA from 1 species
GACGUAGGGCGCGAGCGUGUCCGGAUUUAUUGGGCGUAAAGAGCUCGUAGGCGGCUUGUCGCGUCGACUGUGAAAACCCGCGGCUCAACUGCGGGCCUGCAGCCGAUACGGGCAGGCUAGAGUUCGGUAGGGGAGACUGGAAUUCCUGGUGUAGCGGUGAAAUGCGCAGAUAUCAGGAAGAACACCAAUGGCGAAGGCAGCUCUCUGGGACGGUACUGACACUGAGACGCGAAAGCGUGGGGAGCGAACAGG